GUUCCCUACAGGAGUCUCCUAGCACCCAGCACCCUGCUCCCUAGAGGAGUCUCCUAGCACCCAGCACCCUGCUCCCUAGAGGAGUCUCCUAGGACCCUGCACCCUGUUCCCUAGAGGAGUCUCCUAGGACCCCAGCACCCUGUUCCCUAGAGGAGUCUCCUAGGACCCCAGCACCCUGUUUCCUCGAUCCACCUUCCUACAGGGAGCUGAAGAAGACCUCCUCUGACCCUGACCUCUGACCUCUGACCUCUAACCCUGACCUCUGACCCUGACCUCUGACCUCUGACCCCUGGAGCUGUGAAGGGAACGGGAGCAGGAGAGGAGGAGGAGGAGGAGGCAUGAAGAGGUCUGGAGUGAUGAAGGUGAGUUAGGUCUGGAGUGAUGAAGGUGAGUUAGGUCUGGAGUGAUGAAGGUGAGUUAGGUCUGGAGUGAUGAAGGUGAGUUAGGUCUGGAGUGAUGAAGGUGAGUUAGGUCUGGAGUGAUGAAGGUGAGUUAGGUCUGGAGUGAUGAAGGUGAGUUAGGUCUGGAGUGAUGAAGGUGAGUUAGGUCUGGAGUGAUGAAGGUGAGUGAGGUCUGGAGUGAUGAAGGUGAGUUAGGUCUGGAGUGAUGAAGGUCAGGAGGUGUGGAGUGAUGAAGGUGAGUUAGGUCUGGAGUGAUGAUAAUGAAGAUGUUUGUUAGGUGAGAAGUGAUGAUGAUGAUGAAGGCUGAUGAGGAAGGUUUGUGAGGUGUGGAGUGAUGAAGGUUUGUGAGCUGUGGAGUGAUGAAGGUGAAGGAGGUGUAGAGUGAUGAAGGUGAGGAGGUUUGCAGUGAUGAAGGUGAGGAGGUGUGGAGUGAUGAAGGUGAGGAGUGAUGAAGGUGAGGAGGUGUGGAGUGAUGAAGGUGAGGAGUGAUGAAGGUGAGGAGGUUUGCAGUGAUGAAGGUGAGGAGGUUUGCAGUGAUGAAGAUGAGGAGGUGUGGAGUGAUGAAGGUGAGGAGGUGUGGAGUGAUGAAGGUGAGGAGGUUUGCAGUGAUGAAGAUGAGGAGGUGUGGAGUGAUGAAGGUGAGGAGGUGUGGAGUGAUGAAGGU
ensembl:lncRNA